GCCUUUGUAGCUCAGUUGGAUAGAGCAUUCGCCUCCUAAGCGAAGGGUCGUGAGUUCAAAUCUCGCCAAGGGCACCA
rnacentral:tRNA from 1 species